rnacentral:sRNA from 1 species
GCGGCUAGAAGGGCAGGAGGCUUGCGUUAAACGGACAAUAAAACACGUUUAUAUUGUUGCUGCGUUUAUUUCUACGAAAACAUAACUGUUAAUUUACCAAAAAAUACAAAUAUAAAUGACGGACACUUACCGCAGUUUUGCGCCUCCUUCUUCAACGAAUAUCAAAUUUAAAAUGAGCUAAUUGCGCUCAGCAACGAUAAGCACAAAUAUGCAAAGAAAGAGGAAUCAGCAAACU